rnacentral:misc_RNA from 1 species
AUGAAAUGAAUGUCGAAAGGGGUUGUAGCUGGCCUCUUGAGGCAUGUGCACACCUUUAUCGCACAUAUCUACAUCUCACACCUGUGCACAACCUGUAGCUUGGGAUGAUUACAAUACCGGAAACGGUAUUGAAAGCCCUCGCUAUGAAUUUUUAUACAACCGUAUUAAAAGUUAUAGAAUGUUUAAUGUUAUAGCGUGUAACAGCGCGAAUAAAUAUA